rnacentral:rRNA from 1 species
CAGCGCCGCGGGAAUACGAAGGGUGCAAGCGUUACUCGGAAUUACUGGGCGUAAAGCGUGCGUAGGUGGUGGUUUAAGUCCGUUGUGAAAGCCCUGGGCUCAACCUGGGAAUUGCAGUGGAUACUGGGUCACUAGAGUGUGGUAGAGGAUAGUGGAAUUUCCGGUGUAGCAGUGAAAUGCGUAGAGAUCGGAAGGAACAUCUGUGGCGAAGGCGACUAUCUGGGCCAACACUGACACUGAGGCACGAAAGCGUGGGGAGCAAACAGGAUUAGAUACCCGCGUAGUCCCUGUCUCUUAUACA